UAGGCCGGUGUUUAUAAGAAGAGAAGGCGUGGAUGUUUGGUAAGACGCGUCCCAUCGGAAGUAAAAAGGGUAAUAAAUAAGGGGGCAUCGCGAAGGGCGGGCAAAGGAGAUAUUAAUGUUCGUACAAGACUACCAGUGCUUUUACAGGUCGCCUAGAAGGGCGUUGAUAGCCGCAAUCGCUCGACGCCGGAUCUGAUCGGCCGAAUCCAGAACCCAUUGAUCAUCCUCCACCGAUCCAGG
rnacentral:lncRNA from 1 species